GACGAACGCUGGCGGCGUGCUUAACACAUGCAAGUCGAACGGAAAGGCCCCUUUGGGGGUACUCGAGUGGCGAACGGGUGAGUAACACGUGAGUAACCUGCCCUUGACUUCGGGAUAACUUCAGGAAACUGGGGCUAAUACCGGAUAGGAAUCCUUGCUGCAUGGUGGGGGUUGGAAAGCUUCGGCGGUUUUGGAUGGACUCGCGGCUUAUCAGCUUGUUGGUGGGGUAGUGGCUUACCAAGGCUUUGACGGGUAGCCGGCCUGAGAGGGCGACCGGCCACAGUGGGACUGAGAGACGGCCCAGACUCCUACGGGAGGCAGCAGGGGGGAAUAUUGCACAAUGGGCGGAAGCCUGAUGCAGCAACGCCGCGGGCGGGAUGACGGCCUUCGGGUUGUAAACCGCUUUCAGCAGGGGCGAAGCUUGUGGUGACGGUACCUGCAGAAGAAGCACCGGCUAACUACGUG
rnacentral:rRNA from 1 species